rnacentral:rRNA from 1 species
UACGAGGGGGGCAAGCGUUGUUCGGAAUUAUUGGGCGUAAAGGGUGCGUAGGCUGUGCGGUAAGUCACCUGUGAAAACUCUGGGCUCAACCCAGAGCCUGCAGGCGAAACUGCCGUGCUGGAGUAUGGGAGAGGUGCGUGGAAUUCCCGGUGUAGCGGUGAAAUGCGUAGAGAUCCGGAGGAACACCGAAGGCGAAGGCAGUGUCCUGGCGCGUAUCUGACGCUGAGGUGCGAAAGCCAGGGGAGCGAACGGG